GGUCUGUACCUGGGAACCGCAUCUGGGCCGCCAAAGUGGAAUGUGCUGAACUUAACCACUAUGCUCCCAGGGGUGGCCUUUGGCAUCUUUUCCAUCAAGCUGUGUUUCCAGAUUGCUGGUGGCCUAGUUGGAUAUGAGCAAAGAAAGAGCACCUUUGAGAAAUGAAGAGAAGCAGAAGAGAAAAGAGCAGGAAGUGUGCUUGGUCCCUUGCUUACCCUAUUGACUCGGACUUUCAUCAGACUCAAGCUAGACCCGCUCUUAGCUUGUUUCUAAGUGUUUACACAUCAUCUGAGUCUGUCAGCAAGAAAGGCAGAAAUUGAAGCAACUUUUUCUGUAUUAGAGAAUUCUGCCGUUCAGCCCUGCGAGAGCCCCUUACCUGCUGCGUCUCCCAUCUCCAAGACAGAGACGGAACACCUGUUCUUCCCCACUGCGCGAGUAGUUGUGGUUGAUGCCAUGUUGUCUCUCCCUGUAGGGCAAGAAAGGGAAUAGAAUGAGAUUACUGAAGAGUCAUGGCUCUCUGUGGAGAAGGAAAAGGGUUGGAAGUCAUCAGGUAUGAUCUUGCUGUUGAAAGUGUAAUUCGUGGGCCAGCAGCAUCAGCUUCGCCUGGGAGCUUGUCAGAAACGCAAGAAUCUCAGGCCCCAGCCAGACCUACCACAUUGGGCUCUGCAUUUUAACAAGAUCCCAGGAAAGAAAACACAGUAUAUCUUUAUCAUCCUUAAUCCUGAGGUUGAAAAUUGAGACUGGUUGUGGAUUUUGCAUGGGGAUAGGACAGCAAUUAUGAUUGCUUCAAGUAUCACAGUACUAGUAACAACAAUGACAAAACCAAUGUAUUAAAUACGACUAAAUAGCCAUGUAAUUUACAAA